rnacentral:rRNA from 1 species
GAUGAACGCUGGCGGCGUGCCUAACACAUGCAAGUCGAACGGAGAUUACGGACGGAAGUUUUCGGAUGGAAGCCUGUAAUUCUUAGUGGCGGACGGGUGAGUAACGCGUGGGCAACCUGCCCUAUACAGGGGGAUAGCAGCUGGAAACGGCUGGUAAGACCGCAUAAGUCGGUUAAAUCGCAUGAUUUGAUCGGGAAAUGAGCAAUCAGGUAUAGGAUGGGCCCGCAUCCGAUUGGCCAGUUGGCAGGGUAAAAGCCUACCAAGGCGACGAUCGGUAGCCGGCAGGAGGGGACGGCCGCCCGUUUUGGACCUGGCAGCCGCCCAAACCACAACGGGCAGCAACCGGAGGGGAUAUUGCACAAUGGAGGAAACUCUGAUGCAGCGACGACGCGUGAGUGAAGAAGUAUUUCGGUAUGUAAAGCUCUAUCAGCAGGGAAGAUGAUGACGGUACCUGACUAAGAAGCCCCGGCUAACUACGUG